CCCAACCCGGCGGGUUUCUUGAGCGCGCAGGUUGGGAAAUAAUAGUCUAAGAAGGGAAGCAGAGCCUCUGCGUGUGGGCCCAAGGGGAAGAAUGGAAUGGGGAAGGGUUAUGAGCCCCCGGGGCUGAGAAAAUUGCAAUCCACAAACAAACAAAGAAUCAGACCCUGGACAGAGAAGACCCACAACCUCAGACCUGGCUCUGUCUGCCCCAGGCAUUAUGCUAUCUUGUAUUUCAAAGAUGAAGACUCAAACCAGAGAAGUUAUGACCUGCUCAGGAUUAGAUGACCUCCUCUGCCUUAUUUCUUUUCCCCACAUCAAUGCUGCAUGGCUCGGGUCUCUCCAGGUAGUCUCUACCUACCUUGGGAAUUAGAAGAUUCCUUAGGGUCUGGGUGCUGAAGAGAAAACACCUGAGUCCUGACCUGUUCCGGUGUCUGCAGCUUAACAAAAGCAAGCCCAGGAGAAAUUUUUAUUUCCUUAAGAAAGGAAAUGAGAAUGUUCCCGCCUUUUUAAACUUGGUUUCCUGAAACCAAAGGUCAGCUGGAUUUUGGCUAAUCUUGUCAGGAUCAGUGGAACUUGGCUCCAGCCAUGAGCUGAAUUCACAUCUCUCAUUCCUCCGUGACUGGUGGGCUGCCCAGGACAUCAUCUUCACAAGGUGGUAGCAGAAGCCCAAGAGAGCAGACCCAGCACUGAAAUGGGUAAAGCCUUUGUACACAUCACAACUACUAACAUUUCAUUGGCCAAAUAAAGUCAUACAGCCAAGCUGACAUCAAGGGGGUGGAAAAUAUACUCCAGCUGUAAUCUCAGGAACUACACAUGGUAUAGGUAUAGGGAGUGAUGAAGUAUUGGGAAGAAUAAUACAGUCUAUAACAGUGCCUCACAAAAAGAUUACAUGGAAAAAACACAUGCACAGGAUAUAAAAUUGAUUGUACAA